rnacentral:tRNA from 1 species
AAAGAAUUAGUUUAAUUUAAAACAUUGUACUGUCAUAACAAAAAUAUUUUUAAUACUAAUAUUCUUUA